AGUCGAGUUCUACUAGGCCAACACGUGUCCCGACUGCAUUAAAUUGUGACUUUUCCGUGUUAACUCAAAUAAAGCAUAAUCUCUCCAUCUUCCUCGCGAUUUCUUCUACCGUUGUGCGAUAACGAGUUUUUCACACUUUCAAUGGCGAGUCCAAGUGCUGUAUCUGAAGAUUGGAAAUCAGAUGACCUUGAAAUCGUCUCCGUCGGGGAUCUUUAUAACGGCUCCUGUGAUAAGAAGUACUGGAGUUCAUCUAGGGGAAAAAAAUUGUUUCCCUUAUCCUGUGGGCUAUAAAGCUGUUUGAGCUCACAAUGGGAGCACAUAUUAUAUGGAGAUUGAAGAAGGUGCUAAAGUACCUUUGUUUCUGGUAUGUUGCUGAUUCCCUUUAAAUCUUAUCAAAGGUUGUGCAUACGUUUUUUUUGGAAUGGAGCAGAGUCUUACUCUAUUGAUGCUGAUACUCCCGACACAAGUUUGGUAAGGAAUCAACAAUAUUUAAUUAGAUUUUAAGUUUAUCUUAAAUGUUGCAAGAUCAUGUGUUGAGAAUCUCUUUUACUGAUCCCUUUUAUUACAAUUUAACAAGAAAUCGCUAUCGCAAGAUCAUGUGUUGAGAAUCUGAACAUAUGAUACAAAUCAUUAGUUUUAAUCCCCUUUACGGGACUUUAUAGCCCACAAGAUAAGGGAAACAAUAUUUUCCCUGAUGAUUACUGGAGUAUUAAAAAGGAUCUCCACCUAUAAAAGGUAAGGGCCUCCACCAGUGAGAAUCAAUUUUCACAGUUCCAAUUUCAUUCAAUAUUUCUUUCUUGGUAUAAUCAUAAUGGCUAAGCAGUCUUUACUACUUGCUAAUUUGAAGGCCGGUUGCUGUUCUUCCACUGUAGAUGUGCAGUUACUCAGAUUCUGGGAAGUUGAUGGGAGUUGUGGAUUCCUUUUCAGUCAAGUCUGUAAUGGAAUUUGUGUCCUCAUGUUAAACUGAUUGUCAUCUAUAGACUGUCAUAACUGUUUUUAUGAUCCAGUUCUUCAUGAUUCUAAAAAAAUGUAGCCUUUUAUAUCUACAUGUGCUUGAAUACGACGGUCUGCUCCAACUCUGCUUUGAUUCUAUGGAAAACCGUUUCAUGUGCAGCUCUUCCCACCAGCAAGAGAGGAAUGGCUGUGGCUACACAUGCCGAGCUACUUGCUGCGGAGAACGAGCUACUUGCUGCGGAGAACGAGCUACUUGCUGGGGAAGGCACCUCAGUCAUGAAAGGUGCGGUGUAACUACAGCUAUGGUUGCAAUAAAACGUCACACAUGAAACAAGCCAGAGUGAUCAAAAUUCCAAAAGCAUAAUACUUCGAAAUCCUGGAGUAAUCAUAAAGACUAUUGUGCUUUUGUUUGGUGUUUAUAGAAAUAGAUGUCAUAUUCAACAAAUGCCAAUAUCAUAGUAUUUUAGAUCACUUAUAAUUAAUAAUAUUUAUUUGGUUUCUACUGCAGUCGAGCUCAUUGUAAUAAAACAAAUCUACUUUUGAAUUUUGAAAGGAUAAUUGUGAAUUAAA